GUGCUCGCUUUGGCAGCACAUACAGAGAAGAUCCGCUCCUGUGCAAGCAUGACACACAGAUUUUUGAAACUUUCCAUAUUUUU
rnacentral:snRNA from 1 species